rnacentral:rRNA from 1 species
GCAUGUCUAAGUAUAAGCAAUUAUACCGUGAAACUGCGAAUGGCUCAUUAAAUCAGUUAUCGUUUAUUUGAUAGUACCUUACUACUUGGAUAACCGUGGUAAUUCUAGAGCUAAUACAUGCUGAAAACCCCAACUUCGGGAGGGGUGUAUUUAUUAGAUAAAAAACCAACGCCCUUCGGGGCUUCUUGGUGAUUCAUGAUAACUUCACGGAUCGCAUGGCCUUGCGCCGGCGACGGUUCAUUCAAAUUUCUGCCCUAUCAACUUUCGAUGGUAAGGUAUUGGCUUACCAUGGUUUCAACGGGUAACGGGGAAUUAGGGUUCGAUUCCGGAGAGGGAGCCUGAGAAACGGCUACCACAUCCAAGGAAGGCAGCAGGCGCGCAAAUUACCCAAUCCCGACACGGGGAGGUAGUGACAAUAAAUACUGAUACAGGGCUCUUUUGGGUCUUGUAAUUGGAAUGAGUACAAUUUAAACCUCUUAACGAGGAACAAUUGGAGGGCAAGUCUGGUGCCAGCAGCCGCGGUAAUUCCAGCUCCAAUAGCGUAUAUUAAAGUUGUUGCAGUUAAAAAGCUCGUAGUUGAAACUUGGGCCUGGCUGGCAGGUCCGCCUCACCGCGUGUACUUGUCCGGCCGGGCCUUUCCUUCUGGAGAACCUCAUGCCCUUCACUGGGUGUGUUGGGGAACCAGGACUUUUACUUUGAAAAAAUUAGAGUGUUCAAAGCAGGCCUUUGCUCGAAUACGUUAGCAUGGAAUAAUAGAAUAGGACGUGCGGUCCUAUUUUGUUGGUUUCUAGGACCGCCGUAAUGAUUAAUAGGGACAGUCGGGGGCAUCAGUAUUCAAUUGUCAGAGGUGAAAUUCUUGGAUUUAUUGAAGACUAACUACUGCGAAAGCAUUUGCCAAGGAUGUUUUCAUUAAUCAGUGAACGAAAGUUAGGGGAUCGAAGACGAUCAGAUACCGUCGUAGUCUUAACCGUAAACUAUGCCGACUAGGGAUCGGGCGAUGUUCUUUUUNCUGACUCGCUCGGCACCUUACGAGA